rnacentral:tRNA from 1 species
GCCUGGGUGGCUCAGUCAGUUGAGCAUCCGACUUCAGCUCAGGUCAUGAUCUCAUGGUUCGUGGGUUCGAGCCCCGUGUCAGGCU